CAUCAUCCUCGCAUACACUAACCGUUCUCAUGUCAUUCUUAAUCACACCCUAACACCUAUUGUUUGGCAUUCCUCUCACACUCUUUUCUUCUACCUACAUUUAUUUAUAUUAUCACUUUUACUACUUCAGAUUCCUUUAUACUCAUGGCGUGCCUAAACUAUCUCAGUCUAUUUUCUCAUAUUUUUUUUUUUUACUAUACAACCUUCUCCGCCUCUAGUUAUGUCAAUUCCUCUCACCUAUUGUCCCAACCCACAUUCAAGGUGAGCUAAUUCUCCAAUGUCUUG